UACGUAGGGACCAAGCGUUGUUCGGAUUUACUGGGCGUAAAGGGCGCGUAGGCGGCAAUUCAAGUCAUCUGUGAAAUCUCCGGGCUUAACCCGGAACGGUCAGAUGAUACUGCUUUGCUAGAGUGCGGAAGGGGCAAUCGGAAUUCUUGGUGUAGCGGUGAAAUGCGUAGAUAUCAAGAGGAACACCUGAGGUGAAGACGGGUGCUGGCCGACACUGACGCUGAUAGCGCGAAAGCCAGGGGAGCAAACGGG
rnacentral:rRNA from 1 species